UACGUAGGGUGCGAGCGUUAAUCGGAAUUACUGGGCGUAAAGCGUGCGCAGGCGGUUUUGUAAGCCAGAUGUGAAAUCCCCGGGCUCAACCUGGGAAUGGCAUUUGGGACUGCAAGGCUGGAGUGCGGCAGAGGAGACUGGAAUUCCUGGUGUAGCAGUGAAAUGCGUAGAUAUCAGGAGGAAUACCGAUGGCGAAGGCAGGUCUCUGGGCUGACACUGACGCUCAUGCACGAAAGCGUGGGGAGCAACCAGG
rnacentral:rRNA from 1 species